AGGGGUAUAGCUCAGUUGGUAGAGCAGCGGUCUCCAAAACCGCGUGCCGUGAGUUCAAGUCUUACUACCCCUGCCA
rnacentral:tRNA from 5 species